CCUACGGGUGGCAGCAGUGGGGAAUAUUGCACAAUGGGGGAAACCCUGAUGCAGCGACGCCGCGUGAGCGAUGCAGUAUUUCGGUAUGUAAAGCUCUAUCAGCAGUGAAGAAAAUGACGGUACCUGACUAAGAAGCCCCGGCUAACUACGUGCCAUCAGCCGCGGUAGUACGUAGGGGGCCAGCGUUAUCCGGAUUUACUGGGUGUAAAGGGAGCGUAGACGGCGGUUCAAGACAGAUGUGAAAGCCCGGGGCUCAACCCCGGGACUGCCUUUGGAACUGUGCUGCUAGAGGGGCGGAGAGGCAGGCGGAAUGCCUAGUGUAGCGGUGAAAUGCGUAGAUAUUAGGAGGAACACCAGUGGCGAAGGCGGCCUGCUGGACGAUGACUGACGUUGAGGCUCGAAAGCGUGGGGAGCAAACAGGAUUAGAUACCCUUGUAGUC
rnacentral:rRNA from 1 species